rnacentral:rRNA from 1 species
CCUACGGGUGGCAGCAGUAGGGAAUAUUGCUCAAUGGGCGAAACCCUGAAGCAGCAACGCCGCGUGGAGGAUGAAGGUUUUCGGAUUGUAAACUCCUUUUGUUAGAGAAGAUAAUGACGGUAUCUAACGAAUAAGCACCGGCUAACUCCGUGCCAGCAGCCGCGGUAAUACGGAGGGUGCAAGCGUUACUCGGAAUCACUGGGCGUAAAGAGCGCGUAGGCGGGUUAGCAAGUUAGAUGUGAAAUCCUAUGGUUUAACCAUAGAACUGCAUUUGAAACUGGUAUUCUAGAGUAUGGGAGAGGUAGGUGGAAUUCUUGGUGUAGGGGUAAAAUGCGUAGAGAUCAAGAAGAAUACUCAUUGCGAAGGCGGCCUGCUAGAACAUAACUGACGCUGAUGCGCGAAAGCGUGGGGAGCAAACAGGAUUAGAUACCCCUGUAGUC